AUCUUUCCCUCUCACACAUUGCAAAUCAUGAUCUUCCUUCUUCUCUUAUUUUUUCUCUAUCUCUAUCUCUCACACAUAAACACAGAUCUCUCAUUUAUUUCCAGAUUCAAUCUCAGAUUUCUCAAUCAACCAUAUCAUUCAAACCCUAAGUAUCGAGUUGUAUCACCUGAAAAAACACACACAAAUUCUGGUCGACGGAUAUAGAGAGAGAAAAGAAGAAGAUACAGAGUAGAGACAAAAAGGCCGGAGUUUUAGAGAGAUACCAUGGUGGUGUACGGCGGCAACGACGGCUCGGAUCUGUAUUUCUUGUAAGGGUUGGAUCCGGUUGUCAUUGAGGGUUUGUUAUUUAUGAAGGAAUUGUGACAGGGAUAUGGAUGUGUAGCCACGGUGGUGCACGACGGUUGAAAUAGGAGCGACGGGAUGGGGAUCUGACUUUCGUCACCGGCAACUAUCGCCCACCAGCUCCGGAUCUCCACCGGAAAACCUCCGUUAAGCUGUUGGAGGGUGGAGAACGAGGCCGUAAUUGAGACAAGGUCAAUGAAGAGACCCGAAUGGAAGAUCAAGAAGAAAUAGAGGGUGGCGAGCAAUUGGACUUAAGGAUCGAAGACGACGAAGAGCAAGGGAAUGCAAGACCUGUUGGGUUUUUAUAUUUUUUAUGGUCAUGUAAAUAUUACAACUUUGUAAAAAUUAAAAUGUAAAAAUGAAAAUUUUGAUGGUUGUUAUUUUUUAGAUGAAAGUUGCAUAAAAUAAGAUUAUUAGAAUUUUUUGAUUU